rnacentral:rRNA from 1 species
UACGAAGGGGGCUAGCGUUGCUCGGAAUCACUGGGCGUAAAGGGCGCGUAGGCGGCUUUAUAAGUCGGGGGUGAAAGCCUGUGGCUCAACCACAGAAUUGCCUUCGAUACUGUAGAGCUUGAGACCGGAAGAGGUAAGUGGAACUGCGAGUGUAGAGGUGAAAUUCGUAGAUAUUCGCAAGAACACCAGUGGCGAAGGCGGCUUGCCAGAAUGCGCUCGACGGUGAGGGAUGAAAGCUGGGGGAGCAAACCGG